rnacentral:snRNA from 1 species
GGAUGUGAGGGUGAUCUGGCUGCGACAUCUGUCACCCCAUUGAUCGCCAGGGUUGAUUCGGCUGAUCUGGCUGGCUAGGCGGGUGUCCCCUUCCUCCCUCACCGCUCCAUGUGCGUCCCUCCCGAAGCUGCGCGCUUGGGCCUUCCCCGAAUAGAGACGGACCGGUCUUCGGUCGAGGGUAUACGAGUAGCUGCGCUCCCCUGCUAGAAUCUCCAAACAAGCUCUCAAGUACCUGGUGGUCUCCACCUGCAGGAGGAAAGCUCCACGAGUGGUGAAU